rnacentral:rRNA from 1 species
GUUGGAUCUAGGGACGCGCAUUUCAAGCGCCCGUGCCGUUGGGUCAAACCAGCGACUGCGUUGGCGUUGCGGGCUCGGUCCGUCGGUGCCCACAAAGCACUGGUGUGUCAACCGGCCCGCCCGUCCGCUCCUUCUGGAUUCCCGUUCCUGCUAUUGAGUUAGUGGGGACGUCACAGGGAGCUCAUCGAUCGUCAGCAAUGCCGGCGGUGGGUUCCUGGGGCCCAGAUCGUUUACCGUGAAAAAAUUAGAGUGUUCAAAGCAGGCAGAUCCAAUUUUCUGCCACCGAAUACAUUAGCAUGGGAUAAUGGAAUAGGACCCUGUCCUCCUAUUUUCAGUUGGUUUGGCAGCGCGAGGACUAGGGUAAUGAUUAAUAGGGAUAGUUGGGGGCAUUAAUAUUUAAUUGUCAGAGGUGAAAUUCUUGGAUUUAUGAAAGAUUAACUUCUGCGAAAGCAUCUGCCAAGGAUGUUUUCAUUAAUCAAGAACGAAAGUUAGGGGAUCGAAGACGAUCAGAUACCGUCGUAGUCUUAACCAUAAACGAUGCCGACCAGCGAUUAGGAGACGUUGAAUACAAAACACCACCAUCGGUGCGGUCGUCCUUGGCGUCUCGGUUUCGGCCGGGGUGCGGGGACGGCUUAGCCCGGUGGCACCGGUGAAUGACUCCCCUAGCAGCUUGUGAGAAAUCAUAAGUCUUUGGGUUCCGGGGGGAGUAUGGUCGCAAGGCUGAAACUUAAAGGAAUUGACGGAAGGGCAC